UACAGAGGGUGCAAGCGUUAAUCGGAUUCACUGGGUUUAAAGGGUGCGUAGGCGGGUAGGUAAGUCAGUGGUGAAAUCUCAGAGCUUAACUCUGAAACUGCCAUUGAUACUAUCUAUCUUGAAUUCUCUGGAGGUGAGCGGAAUAUGUCAUGUAGCGGUGAAAUGCUUAGAUAUGACAUAGAACACCCAUUGCGAAGGCAGCUCACUACAGAGUCAUUGACGCUGAGGCACGAAAGCGUGAGGAUCAAACAGG
rnacentral:rRNA from 1 species